GGCUUCAUGUUUUCAAUCAUUAGAUGUUAAGGUUAGAAAGUGUUUUAAUUAACUUCUUGUUGAAACUGACAGUGAGAAUAGUUGAAAAAAUCCUUCAUGAGUAUGAAUCUGUUCUUGAUUGUGAGAAUGGUUGAAAAUAUUCUUCAUGAGUGUGAAUCUGUUCUUGAUUUUAUUGAACUUCAAUAGCUAAAGUUCCUCUUGAGAUUUAUGAUGGCUGGAAAAAAAAAAAAACUCUUACAACAAUUUUUCAGUUCCCCACCUUGACAAGAGAUUAAUACAAUUGACAUUGGAUUUCUUUCUAAAUUCAGAAGCAAGGUUUAUUACGCGAGAGGCAAAUCAGUGGUAUAGAGAAUCUGCUUCAACUGCUGCUCAAAGUGAACUUACCGACUCUGCACAGACAAUUGCAUGAUUUAUCCUUCUGUAAGAUCAAAUAAAUUUAUUUUGUAUAUUCACUGAUGUCCAACUUUAGGCUAUUCCUUUUGGGACAGGAAAAAAAAUUAAUCAGAAGAUUACUUCAGUUGCGAGUGCCUUUCAGAGAGGAGGUAUUUGAUUCUUCUGUUGAUACUAUUAGUGAUAUAUAAGUAAUAAAUGGGAGUAAGCAGGUUCUCCACCCCCUCCCCUUUUGUUGCAUUAGUAUGUAUCCUCAAGAUCGCAAACCGCGUUUUGGCCUCUGGUCUCCAGAAAAUCUGCACAAAUCUUAUGUCUCUGUUGAUUGGAUUAUUUUACAUUGAGAUUAUAAGUUAUGAUGAUUUAUUUUGAAUGUCACCAUUGUUAGAUUAUUCUGUGUAUUUCUUUUUCCUUUGGUUUUAUGAGAUACACUGGGGGACCGAGACUUUGCUUGUGGAAGAGAGCAUAAUUCAACCUCACAUUCUUGUAGAAAAAUGAUUUUAUUGACAAAACACUUGUUAUUUACUCUUAUAUCUCUCUCUUGUGAAACUGUUUCCUUGGUAGUCUUGCGCUUUAAUGUGCAAUUGAAAAUUUUGGAAGGCAUUCUAAGGACUAGCUGCAAAUGCUCAGAGCUUUCCAAUUUGGUAUGAACUUUAUUGACCCUAUUACUUCAUAUCUAUUUGCUAUAUGUUUUGAUGAAAUUGAAUGACUAGUGUAUUAGAAAGUGUAUGCAUUAAUAAGCUCUCAAGACAUUAUUAAUCUAGAUCAAUAAUUCUUAGGUACACCG
rnacentral:lncRNA from 1 species